rnacentral:lncRNA from 1 species
CUACCCUGAUCAUGCUUUUAAACCUGAUUUAUUCUUUUCUUUUAGCACGGGCUGGGGAAGCUUUAUCUGAAAGCAACGUAGUAGCGACCGCUGAUGAUCGGCUCCCAGGGACUGUAUGGACCCAGAAAUUAAUUUGUUCCUGAGACCUGGAGAAACCAUGAAUGGUGAAAAAUAUUUGUGGGAUAUGCAUAUUAAUGGUUACAAAUAUUGUAUCCAGCACCAAAAUCCCAGACACAAAAUACUGUAACCUAUUUGCAAAGGGACCCUUCGAUCCAGUUUCAUUUGACCUGUUUAUUAGAAAGACAUACAAACUUCACAAAGUCAAAGAAGGGAAUACCACGGUGCUGCUCUGCUGCUUGGUCUUGAGUGAAUACCCUCUGUUGGCUGCUGUUUCCCCAGGAUUUUACAAGGUCUUCUGGGAGGAGCAGAUUAAAUGAGAAAAAGUAUUCUGCUGCAGGAGACUCCAGGCUCUGGUCAAGGACAAAAAGAUGACGUUAUCCCCUGGAUGUGAGGAAGGAGAACCUACCAGAUCCUUGCUGUAUCUCUGCUGAGCCUGGAAGCUGCUGCAGCCAGAGAGGUUUGACACCGCUGUGGCAUCACAGGGCUGGAGGUCAUUUGGGGCAAGCAGAAGGCCCCGGGAUGCACUGUGUGCGAAUGGUACCCAGUGUACAUCUGUAGUUUUCCUGGACUUCUGUCGAUGCUUGCCAAUAGACUAGGGUCUAAAUCCACCCUUAUUUCGCAUAGAUCCUGGACUCUUUUUCCAAUCUCUCUCUUAAAUAUCUUUGCAUGAUGCUGCAUUGUGUCAUGUAGAAAAACAUUCAGAGCUUGGGUUUCCCAUCUGUAAAAUGGGGGCAAUAUUUCCUGUGUCCCAGCCGUUGCUGAGGUUAUCAGGCUUCUGGGACGAGAAUCCUUUUAUUGCCUGUUUCUGUAUUCUCUGGUUCAACGAGACCCUGAUCUCAGUUGAAGCCUGUAAGUAUCACUGAAAUAUAAAUAGAUAAUAAUAAAAAGACGAUCUUGACACA